rnacentral:rRNA from 1 species
GACGAACGCUGGCGGCGUGCUUAAUACAUGCAAGUCGAACGGAAAGGCCCUGCUUUUGCGGGGUGCUCGAGUGGCGAACGGGUGAGUAACACGCGAGUAACCUGCCCUUGAAUUUGGGAUAACUUCAGGAAACUGGGGCUCAUACCGGAUAGGAGCUCCUGCAGCAUGGGGGGGGUUGGAAAGAUACGGCGGUGGGGGAUGGUAUCGCGGCUUAUCAGCUUGUUGGUGGAGUAGGGGCUUACCAAGGCUUCGACGGGUAGCCCGCCUGGGAGGGUGACCGGCCACAUUGGGACUGAGGUACGGCCCAGACUCCUACGUGAGGCAGCGGUGGAGAAUAUUGCGCAAUGGGCGGAAGCCUGAUGCAACGACGCCGCGUGCGGAAUGACGUCCUUCGGGUUGUAAACCGCUUUCGCCUGUGACGAGGCGUGAGUGACGGUAAUGGGUCAGAAAGCACCGGCUAACUACGUG